rnacentral:tRNA from 1 species
GUGUACUUCAGUGGUAGAGCAUCUGCCUUCCUUGGCAGUGGUUCUGGGUUCGAAUCCCAGUAU